GAUGAACGCUGGCGGCGUGCCUAAUACAUGCAAGUCGAGCGAACGGACGAGAAGCUUGCUUCUCUGAUGUUAGCGGCGGACGUGUGAGUAACACGUGGAUAACCUACCUAUAAGACUGGGAUAACUUCGGGAAACCGGAGCUAAUACCGGAUGAUAUUUUGAACCGCAUGGUUCAAAAGUGAAAGACGGUCUUGCUGUCACUUAUAGAUGGAUCCGCGCUGCAUUAGCUAGUUGGUAAGGUAACGGCUUACCAAGGCAACGAUGCAUAGCCGACCUGAGAGGGGGAUAGGCCACACUGGAGCUGAGACACGGUCCAGACGCCUACGGGAGGCAGCAGUAGGGAAUCUUCCGCAAUGGGCGAAAGCCUGACGGAGCAACGCCGCGUGAGUGAUGAAGGUCUUCGGAUCGUAAAACUCUGUUAUUAGGGAAGAACAUAUGUGUAAGUAACUGUGCACAUCUUGACGGUACCUAAUCAGAAAGCCACGGCUAACUACGUG
rnacentral:rRNA from 1 species